rnacentral:rRNA from 2 species
CCUAAUGAUGAUGUGUAGUAUCUCUGCUCAGGACGAACGCUGGCGGCGUGCCUAAUACAUGCAAGUCGAACGAACUCUGGUAUUGAUUGGUGCUUGCAUCAUGAUUUACAUUUGAGUGAGUGGCGAACUGGUGAGUAACACGUGGGAAACCUGCCCAGAAGCGGGGGAUAACACCUGGAAACAGAUGCUAAUACCGCAUAACAACUUGGACCGCAUGGUCCGAGUUUGAAAGAUGGCUUCGGCUAUCACUUUUGGAUGGUCCCGCGGCGUAUUAGCUAGAUGGUGGGGUAACGGCUCACCAUGGCAAUGAUACGUAGCCGACCUGAGAGGGUAAUCGGCCACAUUGGGACUGAGACACGGCCCAAACUCCUACGGGAGGCAGCAGUAGGGAAUCUUCCACAAUGGACGAAAGUCUGAUGGAGCAACGCCGCGUGAGUGAAGAAGGGUUUCGGCUCGUAAAACUCUGUUGUUAAAGAAGAACAUAUCUGAGAGUAACUGUUCAGGUAUUGACGGUAUUUAACCAGAAAGCCACGGCUAACUACGUGCCAGCAGCCGCGGUAAUACGUAGGUGGCAAGCGUUGUCCGGAUUUAUUGGGCGUAAAGCGAGCGCAGGCGGUUUUUUAAGUCUGAUGUGAAAGCCUUCGGCUCAACCGAAGAAGUGCAUCGGAAACUGGGAAACUUGAGUGCAGAAGAGGACAGUGGAACUCCAUGUGUAGCGGUGAAAUGCGUAGAUAUAUGGAAGAACACCAGUGGCGAAGGCGGCUGUCUGGUCUGUAACUGACGCUGAGGCUCGAAAGUAUGGGUAGCAAACAGGAUUAGAUACCCUGGUAGUCCAUACCGUAAACGAUGAAUGCUAAGUGUUGGAGGGUUUCCGCCCUUCAGUGCUGCAGCUAACGCAUUAAGCAUUCCGCCUGGGGAGUACGGCCGCAAGGCUGAAACUCAAAGGAAUUGACGGGGGCCCGCACAAGCGGUGGAGCAUGUGGUUUAAUUCGAAGCUACGCGAAGAACCUUACCAGGUCUUGACAUACUAUGCAAAUCUAAGAGAUUAGACGUUCCCUUCGGGGACAUGGAUACAGGUGGUGCAUGGUUGUCGUCAGCUCGUGUCGUGAGAUGUUGGGUUAAGUCCCGCAACGAGCGCAACCCUUAUUAUCAGUUGCCAGCAUUAAGUUGGGCACUCUGGUGAGACUGCCGGUGACAAACCGGAGGAAGGUGGGGAUGACGUCAAAUCAUCAUGCCCCUUAUGACCUGGGCUACACACGUGCUACAAUGGAUGGUACAACGAGUUGCGAACUCGCGAGAGUAAGCUAAUCUCUUAAAGCCAUUCUCAGUUCGGAUUGUAGGCUGCAACUCGCCUACAUGAAGUCGGAAUCGCUAGUAAUCGCGGAUCAGCAUGCCGCGGUGAAUACGUUCCCGGGCCUUGUACACACCGCCCGUCACACCAUGAGAGUUUGUAACACCCAAAGUCGGUGGGGUAACCUUUUAGGAACCAGCCGCCUAAGGUGGGACAGAUGAUUAGGGUGAAGUCGUAAACAAGGUAAACCG